UACGGGGGGGGCAAGCGGUGUUCGGAAUUACUGGGCGUAAAGGGCUCGUAGGCGGCCAACUAAGUCAGACGUGAAAUCCCUCGGCUUAACCGGGGAACUGCGUCUGAUACUGGAUGGCUUGAAUCCGGGAGAGGGAUGCGGAAUUCCAGGUGUAGCGGUGAAAUGCGUAGAUAUGUGGAGGAACACCGAUGGCGAAGGCAGCCCCCUGGGCCAAUACUGACGCUCAUGCACGAAAGCGUGGGGAGCAAACAGG
rnacentral:rRNA from 1 species